AGCCUGAUGCAGCGACGCCGCGUGAGGGAUGACGGCCUUCGGGUUGUAAACCUCUUUCGACAGGGACGAAGCGCAAGUGACGGUACCUGUAGAAGAAGCACCGGCCAACUACGUGCCAGCAGCCGCGGUAAUACGUAGGGUGCGAGCGUUGUCCGGAAUUACUGGGCGUAAAGAGCUUGUAGGCGGCUUGUCGCGUCGAUCGUGAAAACUUGGGGCUCAACCCCAAGCUUGCGGUCGAUACGGGCAGGCUUGAGUACUUCAGGGGAGACUGGAAUUCCUGGUGUAGCGGUGAAAUGCGCAGAUAUCAGGAGGAACACCGGUGGCGAAGGCGGGUCUCUGGGAAGUAACUGACGCUGAGAAGCGAAAGCGUGGGUAGCGAACAGGAUUAGAUACCCUGGUAGUCCACGCCGUAAACGGUGGGUUCUAGGUGUGGGUUUCCUUCCACGGGAUCCGUGCCGUAGCUAACGCAUUAAGUACCCCGCCUGGG
rnacentral:rRNA from 1 species